ensembl:lncRNA
CGCGAAAGGCUUUGCUAUACUAUUUUACCAUAUAUACCACCAUCCAAAGUGGAGAGCUCCAUGAUUGAAGCUCUGUAGGUUACAGUGGAGUAGACCCUAGUGGGAGGGGGAAUAGGUUACAGUGGAGUAGACCCUAGUGGGAGGGGGAAUAGGUUAUAGUGGAGUAGACCCUAGUGGGAGGGGGAAUAGGUUAUAGUGGAGUAGACCCUAGUGGGAGGGGAAUAGGUUAUAGUGGAGUAGACCCUAGUGGGAGGGGGAAUAGGUUAUAGUGGAGUAGACCCUAGUGGGAGGGGGAAUAGGUUAUAGUGGAGUAGACCCUAGUGGAAGGGGGAAUAGGUUAUAGUGGAGUAGACCCU